CUGAUGCCUGUGCUGUUUCCUCGCUGCAGAGGCCAAGCAGCUGUGUUUCAGCUUGGGGGUUCUGACCAGCCCAGGUGGAGAUCCUCAGCUGAAGACCCUGAAGCCAUAAAGGGGCUUGCUCCUCAGCGGCUGCUCUGCUUUAACCCCAGUAGUGCCUUUUGGGCUGCUGGCUCCUCAGGCUGCCUGGGUGAGGCUGCCUGCGGCCCCCUGAGCUCACCCAGGACUUUUCCUGAUCCAUGUCCCUGGUGUGCAGAGAGCGAGCGUUACUUACGGGCAAAAGGGGCGAACGAUCGGCGUCAUCCUUCCGAAGGAAAAUAGUGGCAAAACAUCUAUUAACGGCCAGCGCUGAGAUUGCCUGUGAGCAGAAAGUUAUACCAGUCAUUUGCGUGAUUUUAGAGGGCUGAUCUCUGCGUGUCCUGUGAUCACAGCCAUAUCCUUUGUGAGAAAGAAGAAAGAAUCUGAGGAACUUCGUUCUAAACAUCUGUCUGGGCAGAUGUCAAAAUGCAGAGUGUUGCUGCAUUAUACUUGUACUUGGACAUUAAAUUGCUGAGAGUCUGUGCCAAAGAACCCAACAAUAGUGGGAAUAUCUCGCUGUUUGCUUAAUGAGCAAUGAAUGGAAGUGUGAAGGUGAAAAGACAGAUUCUGGGUGAGGGAGUGACAAGGAAACCUACCCGGAGGGACUGGGGUAUGUCUCCAUCCACCAGGAAGCACCAAGCCUGCGGGUCCUGGCCGAGCAGAGACGAACUUUUGUACGUGCACAAUAAACACACACUGAGAUCCCAGGGAGCAGCGAUAAGCCAUCAUUCCUGUGACAGCACGUGGGUAGAUGGUGACUGAAGAAUGGUUUCCCUUGCUCUGCUAAUGCUUCGAUUCCAGCGAGUGUAAAGCUUCAACUCCAACCAGGAAUCUCCUUUCUGUGUGCUUAUAAAUCAUUAGAGAUUGGCAGUGAUGAGGCCGCUAUGACUGUGAGCCCUGGGAUGGGAUAACCAAGGAUGGACACAUGCAGGAGGGACAGCUUAACCUCAAGGUGUCUGCAGUUUCCCUACUAAUAUUGGGCUGGAUUUGGGCCACCUGUGAAGCUGCCCUCCCAGAAGGAAAUGCCAAGCACAGACAUGGAGCAGCAUUUGCAAAACGAUUAUCUGAGGAGCACAAGACAAAAAUCCUGCACACUCAACAUGACCAGAUUGCAUUUUAAAUCAAAAUGCUCUCCAUGACUGCCUGCUUUGCAGCACUAGGAGCUACUAUCAAGCAAGCCAAUUCUUUGUGAAGGUGACAAGUCUCCAAACUUGUAAUAAAUUAUCAGCAGCAGCAUUAAGAAAGAAAAUAUAAAACAAAACAUGCUUUGAGAAUUGACUGAAUAUUUUAUUUGUCUUUUUUCUUUUAUUGAGACAUCUUUUGAAAAAUGGCACAAAAUAAAUAGUUUUGCAAAGCAACAAUAUAAUCAAUCUCUAAACUAGAAGAUAAAUCAAGGAUUUCAUUAACUGCUGGUAGCCAGUUUAAAUUGUAGUCUUGUCCAUAAUGUCUAUCUAUCUAUGUAUGUCCAAGUUAUAUUAAAAACCUUUAAAUGGCUUUGUAAUAUCAGCUACAUCUAGCUAUUAUAAUAAUUAAUGAUACUGUUUUAUAAAUCAAUAUAUGUAUUCUUGAUAAAUUCAUAUCCAGUUAAUGGUGUAAUUUAAAUAAAAAAUUAAUGUAAUAAAGGACAUACUGGAAUAGGCAGGAAAUCUUUAAAGGUUAAGAGGCAAAUUUGUCUAAAUUCUUUUCUUUGUACCUAUUUUUGAGAAAGCGUCCAUUGAAAUUCAGCUGCUAGCAGGCUCGCACUUACGACCACGCUCUGGCCAUUAGUUUUGGAUUAACAGCAGUCGCGGAGUUUUUUCAGGCAGAUGCAGCGAGAGGUCCUUCAGCUGAACGAGCGCGUUCCUCUCUGCUUCCUAAUCCUGCUGCAAAACUGCAAACAAAAGUCGCAGGAGGAAUGCGCCAGCCUUUGGCCAGAAAGAGAAAGGGUAAAAAAUGCUGUUUACACCACUCCCUAUUGAUUCCAUAUUUGUAUUAUUGCAGGGAUUUUUCGCUUAUUCUAUAAAGUGUCAGAAAAGGUAAAAUAUGCAUAUUUUGUUCCAGGCAUGCAGUGCUUUGAAAGGAGAGUGGAAGCCCGGCAGCCUGUGCAGCGUAAUAAAAAUCUGUUCUUUAUCUCUUGUUUUAAAUACAGUUAAUCCCGUUUAUUCAGCAAACACAUCUAAGAGAAACUUAGGGGGGGGAAAAAAGGCUGAAAAUUGCCUUUUCAUAUUUCUAGAUUGCACAUUGGUGAGAAACCGUGGCUCGGUUCCUUUGCUUUUAUUUAUAGUCAGUGACCACAAAAUGUAUCUCUAAGAAUAACACGGGAUUUUAAUAGGCAAUAUUAAUUGUUCUUACCAUAACUUUUGAUCUUAAAUGUUUAAAACAAAAGCCCGCUGCCUGUUUAUACACUGGAUGUUUUAUGAAGAAUAUCUUUUGAAAUUAUGCAAAACAUGAAGCUUUGUCAUCCGCGUUGACAUGGUACAGAAAUGUCACUUUAAUCCAGCGAGAUUUUUUUUUGACGUUUUUCUUAACAUUGCUCUGCCUUAUUUAGAGCAGCAGCAGCGCUCUGCGCAGUUUCCUUUGACACUGAUGGGUAUUUCAAAACGUUGCGCGGAGGGGAAGGAGAGAGAGAAAAAGGAAUUUGCUGCCAGUCACUUCAGCAAUGCAGCUACACGAGCCAUUGCCAUUUGCUAAAAGUUUACAUUUCAAAUGAGCUUUGAAUGUAAAGAUGCAUUAUCGUGAUGCUGGCUCCGUGUUUAGCAACGAAGGGGGGAACAGAGGGAGGACGAUUACUGUCGUGUGCGAAAGCGUGCCCGUGCCUUCAUAACGUGGCCAUUUAAAACCUAUUUUGGUUUUUGGUGAAACUAGGAGCAGGAGACGCAUCGCCGUCCCUCGGAGGCUUAAUUUAGGCUUUAUAGAAAAAACAUCAAAUGGGAGCUUCCAGCAACGCCCCAAAAUGUAUCGCACGUCUUAAAUAUCUUCAUUUUGAAACGUGCCUUAUUUUUUCCCCUCCCAGGAUCGCUAGCGUGUCUCUCCCCAGACAAAGCAAGGACAAGCCGCAUUCUUAAAAAUUAUCUGCCUUACAGAUCGCGUUCCCAGGCAUGUUCCCUGCGUUUUAUUGCCGUGGAUAACCCCUUAAUGGUAUCACAAUUUUAGACUUGUUAAGUGGACAUCUUCCGUGUAUUUAACUGCAAACAAAGUGACUUCAUUUAGGGGUGGGAGGAACGAGAAAAUGCUUUGGGAUGAUUAGAAACAUAAGUUUCUAUCUUCUGUCACACGCUCCUAUCAAUUAUUCAAAACCUACUAAAUUUAGAUGUCUGUUCCUAAAACAUUGUUUGCGCUCGUUCCCUGGAAAGAUGGAGGCAGCUGAUAAUUCGGCUAAAUUAUGCGCUUGAGCCGAAUGGUUACGAAUGAAACACUUUCCGCGCCGGUGCGGAGUUGAAGUCAGGGGGAUCGGUUCGCCCCUGCCAAAAUUUGCCAUCCCCUCAUGGGAGCGACCACCACUGGGCACUGGCACGUGGCUGGGGCACUGUCGAUGUCGGCGUGGGCCUGGCUGCGGCCUGGCAGCUGACGAAGCCCUGUGAUGGUGCCACACGGGGAGGUUCGGCCCGUCGGGUGGUGGCUAAAGGCAGCAAAGGGCCUAAAGCAGCCCCGGAGGCACCUUGUGCUCCAGGUUGCUGUUACCUGGGCGUAAAGUAGUGAUUGCUGCUGCCACAGGAUGAGCUGUGGGAGGUGCGGGGUGGGAGACACGGGUUGGGUAGGCAGCCCAGCUCCGUGACAAGGAACAUCAGCUCGUUACCAGCAGGGAGCCCUCCGCUCGCUUCGUUAGUGGUGGGACCUCCUCUGCUCGAGGAGGUGCUGUGCCGGGGGCAGGUAAUUUGGGGGAUGGCGGCAUGGCCCUGGGCGAAGGCAGGAGGGCUGACAGCUGUGAUGCUGCUGCCCAGUAUGGAAAAGAAAGCAAGUCAAAAAUAUUAAAAAAAGAAAAAAAAAAAGAAAAAAAAAAAAAGAAAACCACCACCCAGCAGAAACACCAUCCAAGCUUUUCUUUUGCAAUGACAGACACUCGGUAAUUCCUGAACCAUAGGCAGCCUUGUGGGGGGGGGGAAAUAUAAUGCAUUUAUAUUUGGAAACCCACACAGAAAGCAAAUGGCAGAGCCCCCUGCCCCUCUGAAGUCACACGGGUGUGACGUGUGUGCCCCUCUUUGCAACCCCAGCAUGAAGGCAGGCCGGUGGGGAAGGAGGGGGGAAAAAUCACACAACGUUAAAAAAAAGAAAAAAAAAAAAGAAAAAAAAAGAAACAACAAAACAACAACAACAACAACAAAGGAUGUGUAAGCGCUUUCAUUUAUUUUGAUAAUCCUCCUCCCUGCUCCAGAGCGUUUUGCUGUCUUUGUCAAAGUGAAUGACAACAAUUUGGCCAACUCUCUCUGAGCCGCGCUCGGCAGUGACAGGCAAAUUAUCAGAGGCCCUGCACUCCUUAUUAUCGGAGGAGAAGUCAUCAGGAGGACGUGCGGAGGAUCCCUCUCCCCUGUCACUAUUUGUCAGUGGGACAAGGGCCACUGCUAUGGGUAGCUGACAGCAAGCUCUGUUAAACCAUGGCUCCUUAUUUAUCAGGAAGAAGGAUUUUAUUGUCCUCGCCCUCUCCCCCAGUGCCCUUCGUAGGCCCUCCCAUGAAAACGAGGAUCAGCGGCGAGCGAGCUGCAGAGCGAUCGCCCAGCGCCUGACUUCUCGAUCAGCCCAAUUUGCAAUUUUGCUAGUUGUCCAGCAAAGACAAUGCAGCAUCAGCCUGACAGCAUCUCUGCUUUAGGAAGGUGCAGGGCAGGAUCCUGCGCUCCCUGCUUGAGCAAAAGCCCUGCUGACGUCAAUGGGAGUUGUGCCGGCACAAGGACUUGGCCCGCUGCUAUAAACACGUUGGGACUUUCUCUUUUAAUGGAUGGCGUUUGGAUUCUGCGCGAGCUGUGCUGAAGGGGCGCGGGUGCCAGUGUCCUCCAGCAUCCCGGGGCACAUGAGACAAAUUGCCUUUUUGUCAGAGCGGUGCGGAGGGCAGGAGCAGGCGCUGCACCGGAGCUGGGCUAGUUUUGACUUUGAGCUCUCUGAUCACCCCUUUUGCUGGGAGAUCGAUAACAGCAAAAGCAUCACAGGGAGUGGGCAGAAUUUCCAGAGUGGAAGGGGAAUUAAUCAGAUUAGCAUACUUUAAAGAUUUUUUUUCCCCCUUUAAGUGUCACAGUAUACUUAAAUACACUUGUCUGUUCACAAACCUGGAGAGCAAAUGCAGCCCUUUUUGUCAUGGCAUUUUUUGCUACUAACAGAGAAAAAGCACCCCAAUGGUAUGGGUAUGGCACAUAUGCCUUAGUGUGUGUGCACCUCUGUGUAUUAUAAACAAAACAAAAAAAGCACAACACAAAACACACAUUUCCUUUUAACUCAACCACCUUCCCAUCAAUAACUUCUCUCCUGAUGCAGAUAAAUGAUGCGACAGCAGCAGGUAGCACAGGCCCUGCUCCACCCCACGCUCCUGUACACCAACCCCCCUGAUACCCACCCCUUCCUCUUCGGCCAGCACCGGUCUGCAACCACAUCUCCCCGGCACAUUUAGCAAUAGGGAAUCUGGGGGAUUUGCUUGGUGGAGCCCCGAUGAUCCCCUCUUUGUGUCUUGCAGCCAACAGGGAGGAACAGCAACAGGGCUGCUGCUAACAAAGCAUCCCCAGAGCCGACCCGCAGGUUAAUGCACGUGGGCACACACUUUGGUCUCUAAACCUUAAAAAUUGUAAUGCUGCUUUUAAACAAAGCAGAGAUUCUGUGCUCUGCCUCAACCCCCCCUUUUUUUUCUCUCUUUUUUUUUUUUUUUCCUUCUCUCUCUUUUUUUUUUUUUGGGGGGGGGGGAUGGGAAUAGAAAAAGGCUCAUAAAAAUAAUAGGCAGGGCUGUAAAUUAAAGAAAGAGAGAAAGAAAAAUGUGAUUAUAUAACGCAUCCUGCGGUAAUCAAUUUUACCUCCAAUAUCUGCUUUUGUUUUCAAAAUGCUAAAUAAACAAUACAUAAUGCAUCCCUCAUCAGCCAAAACCAUGAGGGCUCUGUGCUCAAAUAACAGGAAACAUAUUCAAUUUUCCUAACAGAAGACAGUUCAUUAAGCUGUGCCACAUCAAAUAAAACUUUAAUUUCUCCAGCAUCAGAGUCGCAAUGAAAGCAAUUGAGGAAGAUGAGCCAUAUGGUACUUCUAUCAGCAAACACAUAUUGCUCAUUCCCCCAAAGUUUUCUAAUUCUGCUCCCCAGACCUGUGUAAUAUAGAUAAUGUGCUCUGAGCGCAGCAACCAUGAGCUAUCUGGUGUACACUUCUAAUACUGUAUUUAAUGGGAAAUAAUGAAUCAUAAAAGCCUGCAGAAGACGGCUUUUGCUAACCUAAAUCUCAGCUGUAAUUUCAUUGUUCUGUGCCUAAGAUGCUGUUUGCCCUUUUCAAACAACAGCAGUUGAACAUAAUUAUGCUGCUGCAAACCUGGGCUGCAAAAAGAAAGGCUCCCUGCCCUCACCAAGUUUCCAUUAACUCUUGAAACCCUGCGCCUGGGGCACCCGGGGCUCCCAGCGGAGAGCUGCCCGUCGGCUUCCAGGGGUCACGAGAGCCUACGUGUGCACGUAGCCCCAUCGCCGGUGCGCAGCCACGCAAAUUAAAUUGAUUACUCUCAAAUUUGGCCCCAAAAAUGCAACAGGAGAAGCCUAUGAAAAAUUAGGAAAUCUGCUUGACAUCGGGAAAUCCGACACUUGUCUGCUCUAACAUCUGUAAGUGCCAAAGCCGUAUAACGUAGUAAGAGGUGGAUUUUUUUUUUUUUUUCCUAAAAGGUAAGUCUAUUUUUCUUCUUGCCAGAUCUAAAAAUUGUGGUUGGUGCCUCGAGGAAAGGGCCGCCUAAACUUUAUGGUGUUUGUGCUGCUUUUAUAAAUUCAUAAAGAUUUAUUUAAUGAUAUCAUAAGGUUAGAAGUUAAAUGGUAUUGCUGCACUGUCUUUUCUGUGCCUUUCUCUCCUCUGCAUUUUAGCAAGUAAACUGCAUAUGAUAUGGGAUUGGGCUUAUUUUCUAAAGAAACCUAUAGGUAAACAGGCAUCCUUACGGAUACGUUGGGGGAUUCAUAAAGGCAGAGGUGAGAAUAUCAAGGUAUUAUUUUGACGUGACCAACCCUGCUCGGAAAAUGUCUUAGAGUCAUCUGAAGUCAGCCUCUCGCUCUCCUUCCCUCCUCCAACCCCCAAAAUACAGGGCUAAUUUAAAACAUUGUCUAGAUAUGCUACUUCUGCAUAUUGAAAACAUAUUUUAGUGGCUGUGUUUGUUUUGGCAACGUACGAACCCCAAACAAUUAAAUUAAAAAGAGAGACUUUUAAAAGUUAGCGAUUGCCUUUUUAAAAGCUUAUUAAAAUCAGCGUGUUAGAUGGCUGUCUCCGAAUUAGCUCGGAGGCUUGAUUGCUCUCAUUAAAGCUGCCUGUUUGGGUGCUGCUUCGGGAAUGCUCACGCCUGGAUUUUUCCCCCCCCCCCCCGUCCCCGCGCUGCCUCUCGCUGUUUGCGGCUUCCCUGCACGGUGCCAGAUGCAAACUCCAAAUUUUUUGGCGAUGCACCUCGAUGCGAGCCGGUGCGACCGAAGCUGCCCGCGGAGAGCCCAACAGCAGGCUUCGGAAUGAGCAGCAAUAUGUGCACAUUGGAUAGGGCAUCACAGAAAAUGAAGCCCAGGCAAAACUUCUGCGUUUGAUCACAGAUGGUGAAUGUGGAUUCAUCAUCAUCCUGUGCAGAAGCCCCCUCCUCUAUCCCCAUCCUAAAACCCACAAUGAAUUUACGUCACCUAUGGAGCUUUGGACCAACAGGUUGUUGCCACUUUUGCUGCUUUUCACAUCAGAGAAGUCAAGUAAUUCUCGGGGCCCGUUGAAAUAUGUCUCAUCUGAACUGAAUUUCUGCUUGCAAACCACCCGAUAGACACGGACAGGUGUAUUUAUCCAUAAAGUAAAGAGCUAACUCAAGGAUCAUGGAAGGAAAACCACCUGGAAAAUGUGGGCAGAAGUAUGAAAGGAUCAACCAGAAGAGAGGCCAAAAAUGUAUCUGGCAAUUUUCCUUUUGACCAAGGUUCAGUGGAUGUUGUACUUGAGCCCGUCUACUGGGACAAAAUUCUUCUCUGAAAGAGAUGCUCUGAAGAAUGCCAUGUCCUAUUUGUCCACAUCCAUAGGAUGCUGGAAACACCUUCAUAUCCUUAUCUUUAUUAUUUUCCUCUGUUUUUCCUCUAUGACCUUACUCAAGCCUAAUAUUUUUCUCCAGACCUGCAAUGACAGACAUUCUUAAUACAUUUCUGUUGCAUUAAUAGUUAUACAUACAAUAAAACCUCUUCUACAGUUGCAAUAGUUCCUUUAUAGCUGUAAGGCUAUUAACAUCUUUGUUACUGAGAUACUGAAUUAUUUGCUUUCUCUUUCAGAUAUUUAUGUUCCUGGGUUUGAAGUCCCAUUGGCAAGCUCUCCUUCACCCUCCCAGGGAAAAGCAGGGGGCUCAAAUUCCGGUCAGUUCUGCCUGCUUGGUGUUUUAAUAGAAGCACAAGGUCCAGCCAAAUUUAGAUUCGUUUGUUUGUUUGUUUGUUUGUCUGUUUGCAUUAGUAGCAAUUAAACCAUCACCAUGGUUUAUGUUGCCUGCAUACAGAGGGUGUCUCUCCCCUGGAGCAGCCACGUUCCCUAGGCAGGGUGAGAGGCUGCCCACCGCGUGCCUCCUCCCUGCAGAAGUCUGGGAAGAGCACAUUCACUGGAAGCAGUCACUCGUUGAAGAGGUCACACUAAACCAGAUGCAAACAGGCCAUGGCCUUUACACGAGGACUGCAUCAGACUCACAGAAGGAUAGAUUUUCCUGUUUAUUCUCAAAAUCCCAAGUUUUUCCAAGCCUGCGAGUGGCUCUCAUGAGAGAGCAUCUUCGACGGCAGCAUCCAUUGAUCCAUAUACACUGGUUUGGGGACCUUUAUUGCCAUACAUGCCUGAGUCCCCUGCCUUUGCUGGUGCUGAUUAUCCUGAAACAUGAACGUGGGUUUUGCCCGUAGCUUCCCAGGGCAGCUGGGCUGCCCCGAGUCCCAUGGCGAAGAAGGGCUGCAGGAUGGGGUGAAGGGAAGACACAUACUUGUGCCUAUAUAUCAGCCCCGUCCCCUGCAAUUCCCCUUGGGAGCAGAUGGAUAUUCUUUUUCCUUCCCAAACAGAGAUUUAGGACGUAGAAGCUGACCAAACAUGAAGUUUUGCAGUUUUAAAAGUGUAACUCAUCUUAAAGUUUCUUCUCAUUAACAACAUCCACAUAAGCUCCUUCCCCCCACAUCUUUCUUCUAAUUCUGUUACUAUUUCACUAAUUACAAGUGCUGUACAAGAACUAGUAUUGAGCUAUAGAAAUGAAAGGUCAAUACAUGAACAACACUUCAUUUGUAAAUAAUAUGGCUCUGCAAUCAAUUAUCUCAUUUUCACAGAAGACAUAUUAAUCUAAAAGUAAAGGAUGGAGACAUUUGGAGGAUGUGCAGAGGGGAUCUUUAAAUGUUAAAUGUUCUUUAGCAUGUGCUAAAUAAAGGCUUUGGCGGAGUGAAAAUGCAGCGCAUAGCACUGACACUCCAGGGAGAUUCCUUAGGUCAAGUGAUUUGUACCUUCAGAAUAGUUCUCCAUUGCACUGUAAAGCCUCUGCCGCUGGUAGUAGCAUGAUGGGCUGGUGUUAUUUAGGAUGAUAGCUGUAGCAGGGAAAAUACUGAAAAAAAGACAAAAAAAAAAGGUCAUCAGAGAAAAAAAAAGUGGAUAUUUUAAUAGGUGAAUCACAGUCGUCUUUGCACUGACUGUUGUUUGCCAGCACGGGAGGUGACUUUUCCCACCCUCCUUCUCAAUAAACCUCACUUCUGGUCUGCACAGCAGACAUGAAACAUCCUCAUAGGAGCACUGGGCAGGGAAACUGCAACACUGAUGCCCCCACAGCCCCCAAAACUGCUCACUGAUGCUACCCUCAGCCCCACCAGAGCCCGUGCAGGAAUGUCACCUCUUCCAUGGGUCAUGGUGGGAAUCCACAACGUGAUUCAAAGGUAAAUUUCCUGGGUGUUGUGUGUCCUGUGCCUAUAAACAUCGUUAGAGGAAAAUAUAAGAAAAUGCAUUCCCUGACCUAAAACCAGCUCAGGUUUUCCUUGCACAAAGAAAGUCUCUUGUAGGCUUGCUCACUAACCUUGACAGCACAGAGGCAGUAGAAAGGGGGGGGAAUGAGUGCAAUGCCUAUUAUUUUUGCGUUUUCUCGUUGGAUCUGCCGUACGUCCGCUUCGCACUCUCUGCACACUUCCAGCCUUAAAAUUUCUAUAUCUAACAUAUGUUGGGGCUUAAGGGAAAAACAAAGACAUGAACCCAUCGCAAUGAACUCUCCCCACCCAUGAUUGAUCUCCUCCGUCCCCUGCAUUGCUGGCAGUGGGAGGAGCGGGGCGGGGGCCAGUGUGGAGAAGCCGCACCAAUGCGAGCCCCGGCCGGAGGGGAGGCUCUGCCUCCUGCUGCCCUCUGCCACUGUCCCCUCUCCCCUGCUUGCUCCUGGACCUCCUGCCGGCCAAGCCCAUUGCCUUUCCCAGGGGAAAAAAAAUAUAGGAAAAAAAAUGAUCAUAGUAAUAAAAAUGGGAAUUUUCAGCAAGUUUUGCAAGGCAACCUGAUUCCUAGGGGCCCGGUGAGCUCCUCCUCACCACUGAGGGAUCACAGGGAGGAGAUGCCCCUCUUGGCAGUGGUGGGACCUCCAGCUGGUUUGAACAUCUUGCUUCACUCCCCUCCAUAGCCUUG